CCACCCACGUUAAAAACAGGGAAUUAAUGACAAUAUGUCAGCAAGAAUCAGGUAGCCAAAUGCCUCGUCAUCUAAUUAGUGACGCACAUGAAUGGAUCAACGAGAUUCCCACUGUCCCUAUCUACUGUCUAGCGAAACCACAGCCAAGGGAACGGGCUUGGACAGAUCGGCUGGGAAAGAAGACCCUGUUGAGCUUGACUCUAGUCCGGUUUUGUGAGGGCA
rnacentral:ncRNA from 1 species